GUGCUCUGAGGAGGCCAGGAGAUUUCUGGCGGCGCCGGCGCCAUUUUGCUGGAGCCUGCGACCGAGUGGGAGUGGAGUGGAGCGGCUGUGGUUGCCGACUCUUUCCUCUUCCCCACGGUCCAGUCAGCGGGUUAAUUAGGCCAUCGGCCCUCGAGCCGAGACUUGUCUCUUAUUUAGUUCUGGGGAGCGCCUCGUCGACAUGAGUGAUGUGGAGGAAAACAACUUCGAGGGCAGAGUUAAUGUUCGUGAAGAAAUUGAAGAGUUUUUUCCAAGAAUGUGGAAGAUAAAUCAAGAUAAAAGAAGGCUAAUGAAAAGAGUCUCGCUCUCAGUCAAAAUCUCCAACGGGAACUCCUGCUCGUGUAAAAUCGGAGAGCAGGUCAGGAUCUCGUAGUCCAUCAAGGGUUUCCAAACACUCUGAAUCCCAUUCUCGAUCAAGAUCAAAAUCCAGGUCGAGGUCAAGGAGACAUUCUCAUAGACGUUACACUCGAUCCAGAUCCCACUCUCACUCUCAUAGGAGACGAUCUCGAAGUAGAUCAUAUACACCAGAAUACCGGCGGCGAAGGAGCCGAAGCCAUUCUCCAA
rnacentral:lncRNA from 1 species